rnacentral:lncRNA from 1 species
AUAGCCGGGUAUUGAGCGGUCCGGGUCUCUGCUGCUCAAAGUAAAGACCGUUUGAGAAGGCGGGGAGAGAUCGAAGAAGCUGCUUUAUCUUACAGUCACCCAAGGGGGAGCGCCUUCUUCCUUCCCAGAGUGGAGUGGCAGUGGGUCCGGGAUUCUGGGAUAUGCACAGGGUCUGCGCCCUGCGCCCUGUCCGCGCUGAAGCUGAACUUGUCAUUGGUUUGCAACAGCAUGGUGAAGAAGUGUGGUGUGGAUGGACGGACGGGCCUCUCAGGCACAUGAAAUACUCAAAGCCCAGUAUUAACCAAACAUGUUUCUCUGUUUUGUCUUUGAUCUUUGUGCAGUGUGUUGGCUUUUUUCCUUUAAUGAUGUCACUUGUAUUUUAUUUUUGGUUUAUUUGUAGACUGUCUCCCUCCUUGGCCAUGGCUUUACUUUUAUGUCCACCCAAGGAGAGUUUCACCAGUUUAGGUUUAAGAAAUUACUGACAAGUUAACAAUAAUAAUUUCAAAAUUGAACAGUAAUAACUUAAACCGUGCCUUGGACAUAGUAGAUCUCCAACAGUUUUUCUUGAAUGUGGCUACCUAAUGUGGAACAAGAUUUUUCAUAAUUACAUGUUGCUAUUUUUAAUA